GCCAGCAGACUGCCAGACCUGCAGUCACAAGCAAAGGUUUCACAGUCUGGCUGUCACGGUGCAGAUAAUCUACGAACCCACAGACGUGCAGUCAGGUUUUGCAGCAAAGUGACUGUCACAUGAGCCUGUGCUUUAUGCCAAGGACUGGAGAUUGAAGCAGCAGCAGGCAGCAUGAAAUUGGUCUUUUCACCUCUGGGAGAGGCAGCACUGCACAGCCAGACUUUGGUGUACGGAGAUCUCCAGAAGGGCCUGCGUGGAAGGGGCCAAAGAGGAAAGGGGAUCAAAGCAACAGACUGCAUAGGAUCCAUCUCUAGAGCAAGCACAGCUCUACUGCUGGGUUUGCUGCCUCCUCGAGGCCCUCCUAGAAAGAAGAAGGCAGUGGUUUGCUGCUUGGCCACAAGGGCAAAGGUGGGUGUACAUCGUUUUUGUACCCUGCGGUUCCCCCGGGCACUGUGGAGCAACCAGCCUCAGCUGUUGGAGGGACUCUGGGCAGCUUCAGACAUCUAACACAAAUCGUGUAAAUGUCCGUGGUCAGCUAGGGAAGAGUCCUGAAGUCUAGCCCUGAGACUGAAAUCUGAGGCCAGCACACUGGCACAAAGUUGUCUGAAACACUGGGCAGCACAGCAGCAAAAACGGUGCUUUUGUCAAUUGCAAAUACAUACACACAGCUGCACUAUCCAUGGCACAGCAAACACACA